rnacentral:rRNA from 1 species
AUUGAACGCUGGCGGCAGGCCUAACACAUGCAAGUCGAGCGGAUGAAGGGAGCUUGCUCCUGGAUUCAGCGGCGGACGGGUGAGUAAUGCCUAGGAAUCUGCCUGGUAGUGGGGGAUAACGUCCGGAAACGGGCGCUAAUACCGCAUACGUCCUGAGGGAGAAAGUGGGGGAUCUUCGGACCUCACGCUAUCAGAUGAGCCUAGGUCGGAUUAGCUAGUUGGUGGGGUAAAGGCCUACCAAGGCGACGAUCCGUAACUGGUCUGAGAGGAUGAUCAGGCACACUGGAACUGAGACACGGUCCAGACUCCUACGGGAGGCAGCAGUGGGGAAUAUUGGACAAUGGGCGAAAGCCUGAUCCAGCCAUGCCGCGUGUGUGAAGAAGGUCUUCGGAUUGUAAAGCACUUUAAGUUGGGAGGAAGGGCAGUAAGUUAAUACCUUGCUGUUUUGACGGUACCAACAGAAUAAGCACCGGCUAACUUCGUG